GACGAACGCUGGCGGCGUGCUUAACACAUGCAAGUCGAGCGGAAAGGCCCUUCGGGGUACUCGAGCGGCGAACGGGUGAGUAACACGUGAGUAACCUGCCCCAGACUUUGGGAUAACCCUCGGAAACGGGGGCUAAUACCGGAUACGACACAGCUUCGCAUGGGGUCUGUGUGGAAAGUUUUUCGGUUUGGGAUGGGCUCGCGGCCUAUCAGCUUGUUGGUGGGGUGAUGGCCUACCAAGGCGACGACGGGUAGCCGGCCUGAGAGGGCGACCGGCCACACUGGGACUGAGACACGGCCCAGACUCCUACGGGAGGCAGCAGUGGGGAAUAUUGCACAAUGGGCGGAAGCCUGAUGCAGCGACGCCGCGUGAGGGAUGACGGCCUUCGGGUUGUAAACCUCUUUCAGCAGGGACGAAGCGUAAGUGACAGUACCUGCAGAAGAAGCGCCGGCCAACUACGUG
rnacentral:rRNA from 1 species